rnacentral:rRNA from 1 species
ACCGGCAGCUCAAGUGGUGGCCAUUUUUAUUGGGCCUAAAGCGUUCGUAGCCGGUUUGAUAAGUCUCUGGUGAAAUCCCGCAGCUUAACUGUGGGACUUGCUGGAGAUACUAUUAGACUUGAGGUCGGGAGAGGUUAGGGUUACUCCCAGGGUAGGGGUGGAAUCAUAUAAUCCUGGGAGGACUACCUGUGGCGAAGGCGACUAACUGGGACGUACCUGACGGUGAGUAACGAAAGUCAGGGGCGCGAACCG